UAGCAGUAACAGGAUCGGUUACGUGGAUUUACAAAUUGACGUAUUUACACAUUUUUGAGGCUAUAACCAGGAAAAUGAACACGGGAGAUCCAGUAGAUGUAGUGUAUCUGGACUUUCAGUUAAGAUCCCACAUAGCAGAUUAGUGGGCAAUAUUAGACCAGUGAGAGUGGGGU